rfam:Niastella koreensis GR20-10, complete genome.
AAGGAGUAAUGCUGAAAAUCCUUAUAAAAGAGUAAGCA